GGCUGGCCUUGAGCUCACUUUGUAACCCAGGCUGGUCUCGAACUUUCAACGAUCCUCCUGCCUCAGCCUCCCGAGUGCUGGGAUUACAGGCGUGCGGCUCCACGCCCAGCCUUACGCUAGAACUUGAGGCUGCGCCCCCAGAUUUAGAUUAAGCCCCAUAGUUCAAGGCCAGGCAACCAGAGUCCUUCCCGAAGCCUAAAGCAUCCCCCCAGCUGGCGAUAUAGCUCAGUGGUAUAAGCUCCUGCCUGGCAAGCACAAGAUCCUGAGUUCAGUUCCCGGCACCACAAAAAAAAAAAGCAUCCCCCCAACCCUGCCCUGUUGGAUCCCUCGCAAAACCGCUCUCGCCAGGGCGCACUCAGAGAUGGGCGGCAGCGCUGGGGGGCACCGUCCAGUCCUACGGAAGUCCACACAGCGACGUCCAGGAGGCUGGAGCUGUGGGGUCUCGGAGUCCCCCGACAGCGGGUGAAUGGAGGGGUCUAUGGCAGGAAGGGUGGGCUGGGGUUAGGGGAGAGGAGGGCUGUGACUCAGUUUCCCUCAUCUCCAAACCCCCAGGCCUAGAAGAGGAAGGGGAGGCGUACGAGGAGCCUGACAGUGAGGAGGGCUCCGAGUUCUACGAGAACGACUCCAACCUCGGGCAGGAUCAGCUCUCCCAGGAUGCCAGCGGCUAUGAGGACCCGGAGGACCGGCCCUUGGGUUCUGCAGAUGAGGACUCCUUCUCCAACGGGGACUCUUACGAGAACGCGGACGAAGAGCUGGCCCAGCCAGGAGCCAGGACAAUGGACUUCCUGAGUCCCCAUGGAUCUGCUUGGGACCCCAGCCGGGAGGCAGCCUCGCUCGGGUCCCAGUCCUAUGAGGACAUGAGAGGGGUCCUGUACGCGGCCCCCCAGCUCCGCUCCCUUCAGCCUGGUCCCCAGCAUGAAGAAGAUGCUGACUCUUACGAGAACAUGGAGAACCCCGAUGAGCCAGGGCCAGCGUGGGGAGGAGCCGGCCACACCGGGGCCUGGAGCAGGUGACCCGGUGAGCUGGGGACCGCCCUGGGGGUCAGCAGAAGAGGGCUAGGCAGGAGUGGAUGGGGUGCUGGGGAGGGGAGGGUGCCAGGGCCUGGCGGGCAGGGGUGGGCCCCUGGACCCCUCCUCACCCACAUCCCAUCUACAUAGCUUGGGCUUCCCUAGACCUGGAGAUCCUUACUUGAGUCUGAAACCCGGGACAAGCUCUGGAGGGACUUAGCUUAGGGUGCGCGUGCGUGUGUAUGUUUGUGCACACGUGCAUGCGUAUGUGUGCAUGUGUGUAUUGUGCAUGUGUGUGCACAUGUGUUCGCACAUGUGUAUUGUGCAUGUGGGUGUGUGCGUGUGCGUGCAUGUGUGUAUGUAUGUGUUUGCAUGUGUGUGCGUGCACAUUGUGCAUGCAUGCAUGUGUAUGUGUGUAUUGUGCAUGUGUGCAUGCAUGUAUAUUGUGUAUGUGUGCAUGUGUGCGUAUGUGUGCAUGUGCAUUUGCGUGUGUGCAUGUGUGUGCGUGUGUAUUGUGCAUGUGUGCAUGUAUGUAUGUGUGCAUGCGUGUGUAUGUGCAUGUGUUUGCAUAUGUUUGCAUGUAUGCAUGCGUGUGUGCAUGCG
ensembl:lincRNA B-lymphocyte antigen CD19-like